UAGUGUUCACGUGACUGAAUGAAAUUUUACGAAAAUACCCCCUUGCUAUCUAUAAAAUACACAGUGAUCAUGUGCUUCCAUUUCAUAGGCAUACAUACUCAAAGCUCAUAUAGAGAUAUUGGAGCACGAAAUUAUAGAUUGUAGGUGAUCAAAAGCAAGGAAAAAUGUCGGCUGGAAUCUAUGUGACCGCUGCAUUCAAAUCAAUUCAUCAGAAUCAAGGCGCGACAAGUGAUGUACUGAAGUGGUCCGGAAAAAUCAAAGACUCGUGGACGGGUUUAGCUAGCAUCUUGCCUCGCAAGAAUUACGGUUGCAACCGCAAAUUGCAACUCAAUAAUUGAUUAAUUAUAUGAUAUGCAUUAUGCUCUUUGCUAAUCUGUUUACAAAGGGCAUAACAUAUAUAUGGGAUGUUUUAUGUUAUAUGGGAAUAAUUGAGGAUGUAUAUAAAUUAGCAUAAGGUUGCAGCCAAUGAGUUGGCCCGGCCGUGCGCAUCCUCUCUUAGCCACUGUAUUAUCCUAUACAUGGUUGGCCAGUAUAUCAGGGAUGUUUGCUUAGUUGUGGAGUGUAGACAGCUUGCUAGUUGCUAGUGUCUUUGUACGCUAUUAGCUAAGCCAACCCCUUGUAAUAGUAUUUGUACUGUAUAAUGUCAUUUUCCUCCGUUCCUAAUUGUUUGUCCCAUACACCAAAA